UACGUAGGGUGCGAGCGUUGCCCGGAAUUAUUGGGCGUAAAGCGCACGUAGGCGGUUCGUUAUGUCGGAUGUGAAAGCCCUUGGCUUAACCGAGGAAGUGCAUCCGAAACUGGCGAGCUAGAGUACUAAAGAGGAUCGCGGAAUUCCCGGUGUAGAGGUGAAAUUCGUAGAUAUCGGGAGGAACACCGGUGGCGAAGGCGGCGAUCUGGGUAGAUACUGACGCUGAGGUGCGAAAGCGUGGGGAGCAAACAGG
rnacentral:rRNA from 1 species